GGUGAAAAUGAUGAACUCCAGGGUACUGAUUCAUCCAUGUGAUCUGAAAAAGCCAUCCAUUUCCUGAUUCACC
rnacentral:snoRNA from 1 species